rnacentral:rRNA from 1 species
UACGUAGGUGGCAAGCGUUACUCGGAAUCACUAGGCGUAAAGCGCAUGUAGGCGGUUCGGUAAGUCUGUUGUGAAAGCUCCCGGCUCAACUGGGAGAGGUCAACGGAAACUGCCGGGCUUGAGUGUGGUAGAGGUAGCUGGAAUUCCCGGUGUAGCGGUGAAAUGCGUAGAUAUCAGGAGGAAUACCGAUGGCGAAGGCAGGUCUCUGGGCUGACACUGACGCUCAUGCACGAAAGCGUGGGGAGCAAACAGG